AUUGAACGCUGGCGGCAGGCCUAACACAUGCAAGUCGAACGGUAACAGGAAGAAGCUUGCUUCUUUGCUGACGAGUGGCGGACGGGUGAGUAAUGUCUGGGAAACUGCCUGAUGGAGGGGGAUAACUACUGGAAACGGUAGCUAAUACCGCAUAACGUCGCAAGACCAAAGAGGGGGACCUUCGGGCCUCUUGCCAUCGGAUGUGCCCAGAUGGGAUUAGCUAGUAGGUGGGGUAACGGCUCACCUAGGCGACGAUCCCUAGCUGGUCUGAGAGGAUGACCAGCCACACUGGAACUGAGACACGGUCCAGACUCCUACGGGAGGCAGCAGUGGGGAAUAUUGCACAAUGGGCGCAAGCCUGAUGCAGCCAUGCCGCGUGUAUGAAGAAGGCCUUCGGGUUGUAAGGUACUUUCAGCGGGGAGGAAGGGAGUAAAGUUAAUACCUUUGCUCAUUGACGUCACCCGCAGAAGAAGCACCGGCUAACUCCGUG
rnacentral:rRNA from 1 species